rnacentral:pre_miRNA from 1 species
CCUACACCUGCGUGUGUAGGACCCCAAAAGAUUACUAUUAAAUUUGAUACAGAUCUCUAAAAAAAUUAUCAUAUAGGUGUGGGACUGAUUUUUAUAGAGAUCUGUGUCAAAUUUAAUGGUGAUCCUUUUGGGUCCUACACACAUGGGUGUAGG